rnacentral:rRNA from 1 species
AUUGAACGCUGGCGGAAUGCUUUACACAUGCAAGUCGAACGGUAGAGGGGGCAACCCCUCGAGAGUGGCGAACGGGUGAGUAAUAUAUCGGAACGUGCCCAGUCGUGGGGGAUAACGUAGCGAAAGUUACGCUAAUACCGCAUACGAUCUAAGGAUGAAAGCGGGGGAUCGCAAGACCUCGCGCGAUUGGAGCGGCCGAUAUCAGAUUAGGUAGUUGGUGGGGUAAAGGCUCACCAAGCCAACGAUCUGUAGCUGGUCUGAGAGGACGACCAGCCCCACUGGAGCUGAGACACGGUACAGACUCCUACGGGAGGCAGCAGUGGGGAAUUUUGGACAAUGGACGCAAGUCUGAUCCAGCCAUUCCGCGUGCAGGAUGAAGGCCCUCGGGUUGUAAACUGCUUUUGUACGGAACGAAAAGGUCUCUCUUAAUACGGGGGGCUCAUGACGGUACCGUAAGAAUAAGCACCGGCUAACUACGUGUCAGCCGCCGCAGUAA